rnacentral:rRNA from 1 species
CCAAUAGCGUAUAUUAAAGUUGUUGCAGUUAAAAAGCUCGUAGUUGAAUUUCGGGAUCAAUAUGUCGGUCGUGCCUCGGUACGUACUGGCGCCAUUGGUUUCUCCCUUCUGAAGAACCUCGAUGUCAUUAAUUUGGUGUCGUGGGGAAUCAGGACUGUUACUUUGAAAAAAUUAGAGUGUUUAAAGCAGGCUCACGCUUGAAUACAUUAGCAUGGAAUAAUGAAAUAGGACGUUUGAUUCUAUUUUGUUGGUUUCUAGGAUUGACGUAAUGAUUAAUAGGGAUAGUUGGGGGCAUUAGUAUUCAAUUGUCAGAGGUGAAAUUCUUGGAUUUAUUGAAGACUAACUACUGCGAAAGCAUUUGCCAAGGAUGUCUUCAUUAAUCAAGAACGAAAGUUAGGGGAUCGAAGACGAUCAGAUACCGUCGUAGUCUUAACCAUAAACUAUGCCGACUAGGGAUCGGAUGAUGUUAAUUUUUUAAUGACUCAUUCGGCGCCUUACG